AAAUAUAUAGUAUAAGCUGAUCUUCUUUUCCUAAUUAAUCAUUCUGAUCAGUUUUUUGUAGCUACUGAAAAAGAAAUGGCUGAAAUUCUUCUUACAGCAGUCAUCAAUAAAUCUGUAGAAAUAGCUGCAAAUCUACUCUUUCAACAAGGGAGCCGCUUGAAUUUUUUGAAUGAGGACAUCGAUUGGCUCCAGAGAGUACUGAGACACAUUCGAUCAUAUGUAGACGAUGCAAAGGCCAAGGAAGUUGGAGGCGAUUCAAGGGUCAAAAACUUAUUAAAAGAUAUUCAAGAAUUGGCAGGUGAUGUGGAGGAUCUCUUAGAUGAGUUUCUUCCAAAAAUCCAACAAUCCAAUAAGUUCAAAGGCGCAAUUUGUUGCCUUAAGACGGUUUCUUUUGCCAAUGAGUUUGCUAUGGAGAUUGAGAAGUUAAGAAGAAGGGUUGCUGACAUUGAUAGUUUAAGGACAACUUUCAACAUCACAGAUACAAGUAACAACAAUAAUGAUUGCAUUCCAAUGGAACAGAGAAGAAAAUUCCUUCAUGCUGAUGAAACAGAGGUCAUCGGUUUGGAUGAUGACUUCAACAAGCUCCAAGACAAAUUGCUUGUUCAAGAUUUGUGUAAUGGAGUUGUUUCAAUAGUUGGCAUGCCCGGUCUAGGAAAAACAACUCUUGCCAAGAAACUUUAUAGGCAUGUCCGUCAUCAAUUUGAGUGUUCUGCACUGGUCUACGUUUCACAACAGCCAAGAGCAGGAGAAAUCUUACUUGACAUAGCCAAGCAAGUUGGACUGCCGGACAAGAAAAGGAAAGAACACUUGGAGAACAAUCUAAGAUCACUUUUGGAAACAAAAAGGUAUGUUAUUCUCUUAGAUGACAUUUGGGAUACCAAAAUCUGGGAUGAUCUGAACUGUGUCCUUCGUCCUGAAUGUGAUUUAAAAAUUGGCAGUAGGAUAAUUAUCACUUCUCGAUAUGAUCAUGUAGGCAGAUACAUAGGAGAGGAUUUCUCGCUCCACGAGUUGCAACCCUUAGAUUCAGAGAAAAGUUUUGAACUCUUUACCAAGAAAAUCUUUAUUUUUGAUAAUAAUAAUAAUUGGGCCAAUGCUUCACCUGUCUUGGUAGAUAUUGGUAAAAGUAUAGUUCGGAGAUGUGGAGGUAUUCCAUUAGCCAUUGUGGUGACGGCAGGCAUGUUAAGGGCAAGAGAAAGAACGGAACAUGCAUGGAAUAGAGUGCUAAGGUAUUGGCUCUGAGUUACAAUGAUUUGCCCAUUGCAUUAAGGCCAUGUUUCUUGUACUUUGGUCUUUACCCGGAGGAUCAUGAAAUUCGUGCUUUUGAUUUGACAAAUAUGUGGAUUGCUGAGAAGCUGAUAGUUGUAAAUAGUGGCAAUGGGCGUGAGGCUGAAAGUUUGGUGGAUGAUGUCCUAAAUGAUUUGGUUUCAAGAAACUUGAUUCAAGUUGCCAAAAGGACAUAUGAUGGAAGAAUUUCAAGUUGUCGCAUACAUGACUUGUUACAUAGUUUGUGUGUGGACUUGGCUAAGGAAAGCAACUUCUUUCACACAGAGCACAAUGCAUUUGGUGAUCCCGGCAAUGUUGCUAGGCUGCGAAGGAUUACAUUCUACUCUGAUAAUAAUGCCAUGAAUAAGUUCUUCCGUUCAAAUCCUAAGCUUGAGAAGCUUCGUGCACUUUUCUGUUUCAUAAAAGUAGACUCUCGCAUAUUUUCUCAUUUGGCUCAUCAUGACUUCAAAUUAUUACAAGUGUUGGUGGUUGUAGUCCAGCCUGAUAAAUUUUAUGAUCCUAUCAUUAUCCAAAACAAAAUUGGGAACAUGAGUUGCUUACGCUAUCUGAGAUUCGAGGGGCAUAUUGAUGGGAAACUGCCAAAUUGUAUGGUGAAGCUCAAACAUCUAGAGACCCUAGAUAUUGGUAAAAGCUUCAUUGAUCUUCCUACUGGUGUUUGGAAGUCUACACAAUUGAGACAUCUUCGUUGUAGCACUUUGAAUGAAGCAUCUAACUGUUGCUUUUCUAUAAGCCCAUUUUUUCCAAACGUGCCUCCUAAUAAUGUACAAACUUUGUGGAUGGAUGGUAAAUUUUUUGAACCGAGAUUGUUGCACCGAUUGAUCAAUUUAAGAAAACUGGGUUUAGUGGAAGUAUCCGAUUCUACCAUUAAGAAAUUAUCAACAUUGAGCCCUGUGCCAACGACACUGGAGGUUCUAAAGCUCAGCUCAUUUUCCUAUAAAUCGAGUGAGCAAAUAAACUUGUCGUCGUAUCCAAAUAUUGUUAAGUUGCAUUUGAGCUUAAUAACGCCCUUGAACUUUAUAGCAUUCCCUCCAAAUCUUGUCAAGAUUACUACUUUUCUCAUCUAUAAGGUAGACGGUCAUGUAGUGGCAGUGCUUAAGAAACUACCCAAAUUAAGGAUACUUAAAAUGGUUCUCUGCAACUAUAAUGAAGAAAAGAUGGAUCUCUCUAGUGAUGGUGAUGGUGAUAGCUUUCCGCAACUUGAAGUUUUGCAUAUUGUGGCACCAGAUGGGUUGUCUGAAAUAAAGUGCACGGAUGAUGUGAGUAUGCCUAAAUUGAAAAAGCUAUUACUUAUAAGAGUCCAUUCACCAAUUAGUCUCUCGGAAAGACUUGCAAAGCUGAGAGUAUGAAAAUCUCAAUGUGUCAACAGAUGCUUUUCAGAAUGAUUAUGUCUUUGCUGGAGAGCAUCUUCUGAUGCCUGUUUGUAUUUGUAAUAAAUAAAUUAAAUGUUUGAUUGCUUCUUCAAGUUGAUGUAUUUGUGGCUUCUAAUUUGUAAAAUAAAUAUAUUUAUUCAUCUAUUUAUGGUCUUGUGUAUAUUUACCUUUGGAAUUAGCAGUAGCUUAAUUAGUUUCUUUUCUUCUUCAAGAAUCAAUGCUCACAAUUCUAGUUUUGCAAAGUAAUAUAUUUAUUGUCUUUAUGUAUAUCUACCUUGGCA